rnacentral:rRNA from 1 species
UACGGAGGGUGCAAGCGUUAUCCGGAUUUACUGGGUUUAAAGGGUGUGUAGGCGGACUUUUAAGUCAGCGGUGAAAUCUCCGGGCUCAACCCGGAAACUGCCAUUGAUACUAUUUGUCUUGAAUGUUGUUGAGGUGGGCGGAACGGGUCAUGUAGCGGUGAAAUGCAUAGAUAUGACCCGGAACACCGAUUGCGAAGGCAGCCCACUAAGCAACGAUUGACGCUGAGGCACGAAAGCGUGGGGAGCGAACAGG